CGCACAGCCAGCCCGACACCCACACAGCGGCAGGCGGGGCAGGGCGGCUGGGAGGCCUGGAGAUGCUGGGAGGCCGGCGCGCCAGCCAGACGUGAGAAGAGAAGAACAGACCUAGAGACGGGGGACAGAGGACAGAUAUACAGACACGUGCAGGAAAGUGUGGACCGACCAUACCCCAGUGAAGAACGUAGCCAGGCACAGGCUGGGCACUUGGGCAGGGAAACCCUGUCACAGGCGAAGAGCAAAGGGCAGAAUGGAGAGGGUGAGGGGGCAGGAGGGACACAGCAUGGCCUGUCCAUUGGGAGGGGCCCUAGGAAGGAAUCCUGUUCCCAGAUGCCUGCAGGGGAGUUCUGGGAUACCAGGGUGUCACCUAAGCCAGGCCGAGGCCUCCACUCAGAGUGAUGAGCUGGCCUAUUUCCUGCGCAGCCCACCCACUCUAUGCCCUCUGCCCUGGAAGGUCAGCCCUGGCAGAUGCAAGCCUGUCCCCCGAGAGCCUCCAGCAACUGUUCUGCCGGUGCCCUACUUUGGGGCCUUGGACAAAUCCCAGCCCAUCCCCCAGGACUCCUUUUCUUCAUUAACCCCAUUUAUUGCAUCCUUGCUAUGUUGGGGUGCUUCAGACUUACUUAUGGAAUCCUUUUACAUCUCCACUUGCCUGGGAGCCUCCUAAGGGCAGCAUCUGGUUGGAGCUGCAGGGGUCUGAACACAGGGUGCCCUCCUAAAUUUGAUGAAUGAAUUGAUGGGAUGCAUUGUUGCCAGCCCUGUCCUAACCCCACAUUUUAUUGAUAAAGGAACUGGAGCUUGAAGAGGCCCAGGGAUUGGAAGCCAGGUUUGUUUCACAACCCAAAGGUCAGCCACUGCUGGGAAGUGUUUUUCAAAAAUAAAACAGGCCAAAGAGCUGAGCCUGUCGAUGCUAAACCCUGGGGAGGCAGAGGAGCCCUGGGGAUGCUGUGGAAGGAAGUGAGCCAUCCACAGGCUCUGCAGGGAGGGUGGGGGCAGAGCAGGCUUCCAGAAGAAACAAACCUCAUUCUGCCCCAGCUCUGCCAGGCAUCCCAGGGGAGGCAGGAGCAACGGGGUGGUCUGGGGCCUCAGGGGUGAAGACCCUCUGGGCCUCCUUUGGCAAGCUCUUCAUUCUGGCCUCUGCCUCUAGCACUGCUUCCCUCACCCCUCCCAGGACCCAGACUGGAGCAUCCCAGCUCAUCUGGGGCUGCCAUGGGGGGAACCUCCAGGUGUAGGGGAUGGGGCCAGAAUGGAGGGAAGCUUCUCUCAGAGUCCCCAGAAAAGGGGCCUGGAGAAGCUUUUUGUCCAACCUAUGCAUUUAUUUUGAAUAUUUACAAAUAAAAAUAUCAGAGAAAAAAGAGCACAGGUCAAGGCCACAGAGGUAGGGUUAGAGGCUAUAGAUCUCCUAGGCCAAGGCUCUGCUCGAUCUGCAAAGGUGACCUUGUUCUCCCUGAGCAGAGACUAACUAAUCCUCACAGGAUGAGUAUACUAGUUAUUCCUUUGGAUUGGUAUGUGUGUGUGUGUGUGUGUGUGUGUGUGUGUGUAGUGGGGGGUGGUAUGGAGUGGUUCACUUAGAGUGAGUCCUUACAUCAGCCCUAAGAAGUUCAUUCUCCUCCACUGGAUGCUUUAGUAUCACUGAUCUGCCAAGGCCAGCCUAUUCCUCAGUCCUAGAACUGUUUUCCCUGGGUCUAGCCUUGGAAAUCAGAUUAUGGUUGUUUGCCUGCCUACCUACCUAGAUUAAUCUUUUUUUUUCUUUUAUCUACUAUCCAUCCAUCACAAAUAUAUAUUGUACAGGCCACUUGGAAAACUCCAAAGGAGAAAGAAGAAAAUAGAAUCCAGCCAUCAUUGAGCCCCUUCCUUCCUUCCUUCCUUUCUUUCCAACUCUACAAGUAUCCUUAAAUGGAGCGGCCUUGUUAACUAUGUCAUUCCCUCUCUUACCUUACAUUACAUUUUGAGGCUAUCUAGCUCUGUACCAGAUGGUUCUACUAUGUUUUAUUUAACUAAUCCCCUAUUGCUGGGCAUCUAUUUUGUUUCUGUUUUCCAUGCUUCUAGACACACUGCAGUGAACAUCCUCAAGGGAUCCUGUUGAGGAUACUGCGCCACAUUUGGUCAUGGUGUUUCUCGGAGCUCUUUUUGGCUGUGAUGGUUUCUCGGACAUUCGUUGUAUUUGGUGGACGUUGACGGUUUUGAGGAGUUCCAAUCAGGAAUGUCACAGGAUGGCCUUCUACUGGGAUCAGUCUGAUGGUUUUCCUAUGGUUAGGCUGGGGGAACAGGUUUUGGGGAGACACCGUUUCUGACAUCACUGUAUUUUGAUGGAACAUCUCAAUAACACAGAUCAUGCCUACCCAGGUUUGUGGGUGCAGAGACUGCUCAGAGUUCACUCCCAUUGUCCACCCAGCUCUGUAAACAAAGGCUUCAGGCUCUGACCUCGAUACACAGGGACUUCCUUCCUUGGGAUUACGUCCUUGGGAGCUGGGAGCCAGGAGGUGGUCCCUGAAGCCCUGUGCUUCCCUCUCCCAAGCACCUUGGUUUCCUCCCAGCAUGGGGACCACACGUGGCUCCUCUGUCCCCAACACUCUGCCCUUUGGUCUCAUGCCAGGUGUCCAGUGACUUGAUGCAGUCACUCAGAUUGGCAUCAAGCUCUCAGUCUUGACGCUCUUCCUGUUGUUUGCAGACCUCUGGGCGAGCCCCCAACAGUUGUCCUGGCAAGGGCUGGCAUGAUGCAGGUGGCCCCCACUUUCCUCUGACUCUCCCUGACUCACUGCACAGAUUUUCCUUGGGGCCAGUCCUUCUCCUCAGAAGAUGAUUCAUGGCACAGUUAUUCAGCUCGGAAGGAUGUAGCAAUUGGAGGCCAUGCCCUUGGCCGUCAACCUGCCUUCUCAACUCUGACUCUACCUGUCCACCCAUUCUGGGUCCCUUGUAUCACUGACCUGCAGCUCCUGAGACGGUGGAGGGAAGAAAGUCGGAAGAAGGAGGCUCAGAAAGGUGGAGUGAGCCAACCCAGGUCACACAGGAGCAAGAGAUGGAGCCAGAAUUUGAACCUGCCCUCAAUGGUGCAUCCUUCCCUCCCUCCCUCCCU